CGAUUUGUCAGAUAACAAAAUUACCAGCCUGGCGAAAAAAGACAUGGAACACUUGACACAUUUGCGUCAACUGUUACUAUCCAGGAACAAACUGCAAAACGUCGAGGAAGGGACUUUUGAAUCGCUGACAGAUUUACAAACAUUACGAAUGAUUGCCUGUGAUUUGGAAGAUGUGCCGCCGAGAAUGUUUGCAACACAAAAUCGUUUAGUCACUCUAGAUUUAUCGUACAACAUCCUCACAAGGCUUGUCAGAGGAAGUUUGUUCGGCCUGCACA